CUAGCCUGCUCNCUGACAUAAAGUGUUAAAUAGCCGCGGUUUCUUGACCGUGCAAAGGUAGCACAAAUACUAAUUUUUUAAUUUAGAACUUGAAUGAAUGGUUGGACAAAGAAAAAUUUGUUUCUUGCACCAAAAUUAAAUUAAACUUCAAAGUGAAAAGGCUUAUAUUAACUAUUGGGAACGAUAAGUCACCACAAUUCUUUAUACUUUUUUUAAUUCCGUUUUUUUUUUUAUUAAAAAAUGAUGAAUAGCGAAUUUAUUUGGUUGGGGCAACAUAAGUAUAACCUUAAGUAAAUGCUAAUAAAUUAAAAAAUGAUUUUUGUUAAAUACAAUUAAUUGACCUCAUCGUGAUUAAAGAAUUAGUUUCUUUAGGGAAAACAGCGUAAUUCAAUCCUAAGAGUUUUUAUCAAAGAAAAAGCAUGCGACCCCGAAUGUCGAAUUAAAAUCAAUACCUGAUUCGCAGYCGCUAAGAAAGAAGGCCUGUUCGAUUUUUGAGUUUUUGCGUGCCU
rnacentral:rRNA from 1 species